AUUGAACGCUGGCGGCAUGCCUUACACAUGCAAGUCGAACGGUAACAGGGAGCUUGCUCCGCUGACGAGUGGCGAACGGGUGAGUAAUAUAUCGGAACGUACCUUUGAGUGGGGGAUAACUAGUCGAAAGAUUAGCUAAUACCGCAUACGAUCUACGGAUGAAAGCGGGGGAUCGCAAGACCUCGUGCUCAUAGAGCGGCCGAUAUCUGAUUAGCUAGUUGGUGAGGUAAAGGCUCACCAAGGCUUCGAUCAGUAGCUGGUCUGAGAGGACGACCAGCCACACUGGGACUGAGACACGGCCCAGACUCCUACGGGAGGCAGCAGUGGGGAAUUUUGGACAAUGGGGGCAACCCUGAUCCAGCAAUGCCGCGUGAGUGAAGAAGGCCUUCGGGUUGUAAAGCUCUUUUGUCAGGGAAGAAACGGGNUNNCNUAAUACNGNGNSCUAAUGACGGUACCUGAAGAAUAAGCACCGGCUAACUACGUGCCAGCAGCCGCGGUAAUACGUAGGGUGCAAGCGUUAAUCGGAAUUACUGGGCGUAAAGCGUGCGCAGGCGGUUAUGUAAGACAGGUGUGAAAUCCCCGGGCUUAACCUGGGAAUGGCAUUUGUGACUGCAUAGCUAGAGUGUGUCNGAGGGGGGUAGAAUUCCACGUGUAGCAGUGAAAUGCGUAGAGAUGUGGAGGAAUACCNAUGGCGAAGGCAGCCCCCUGGGAUAACACUGACGCUCAUGCACGAAAGCGUGGGGAGCAACAGGAUUAGAUACCCUGGUAGUCCACGCCCUAAACGAUGUCUACUAGUUGUCGGGUCUUAAUUGACUUGGUAACGCAGCUANGCGUGAAGUAGACCGCCUGGGGAGUACGGUCGC
rnacentral:rRNA from 1 species